GCUCCGUUGGUGAACCAGCGGAGGGAUCAUUACAGAGUUUUCACAACUCCCAACCCUUGCGAACCGUACCCAUUCUGUUCUCGUUGCUUCCGGCGGGGGGGACGGGGGGGCCCGGCGCCCCCCGGCCCCCCGUGGGCGCCCGCCGGAGGUAAACCAAACCCUUGAAUUGCAUGGCCUCUCUGAGUCUUCUGUACUGAAUAAGUCAAAACUUUCAACAACGGAUCUCUUGGUUCUG
rnacentral:misc_RNA from 1 species